rnacentral:tRNA from 1 species
CACCGAGAAGCUACGCUCAAGCGCCAGCCCUUUAAGCUGAAGAGGGGAGUAACUUUCCCUCGGUGA